rnacentral:rRNA from 1 species
GGGGAAUAUUGGACAAUGGGCGCAAGCCUGAUCCAGCCACGCCGCGUGAGUGAUGAAGGCCUUCGGGUCGUAAAGCUCUGUGGGGAGGGACGAACGGCGCCAUGAAGAGUGGCGAUUGACGGUACCUCCUUAGCAAGCACCGGCUAACUUCGUGCCAGCAGCCGCGGUAAUACGAAGGGUGCAAACGUUGCUCGGAAUCAUUGGGCGUAAAGCGCACGUAGGCGGCUUUCUAAGUCGGAUGUGAAAUCCCUCGGCUUAACCGAGGACGUGCAUCCGAAACUGGGAGGCUUGAGUAUGGAAGAGGGUCGCAGAAUUCCCGGUGUAGAGGUGAAAUUCGUAGAUAUCGGGAGGAAUACCAGUGGCGAAGGCGGCGACCUGGGCCAAUACUGACGCUGAGGUGCGAAAGCGUGGGGAGCAAAC